UUCAAAAGCAGAGAAUAAAAGUUUAAUCUCAUUGGAGACAAGUUCUGAAUAAGAAAAUUCCCUCAUCCUAUUCACCCCUUUUCCAGGGGACCUUGUCCCUGUUUGCCAGCCUGCUGCCCACUGAUUUCCCACUGUGCACACACACCCAGGCAAAGAACAGCCCCCGUCACAUUUAGCUGGAAUUGUGCUCCUCAUUUCAGCAAAAGAUGAUGUUCAGCAGAUCAACCCCUUCUUUGCCACCUCUAAAAGGGGAUAACAUGUAUUUUACUGCACAAGAGAUGAGGCUAAUACUGAUUAUUCCCCGGAUAUACACAACGUCACAGGAGGCUGGAAAGGACUGUGAUGCGUGCAGGCAGAGGAUUCACCCUCCUACAGCAAGUUCUUACUUUCUAUUCUCCAAACUCACAGUUUUUUUAUCCUAUAGACCUGAAGUGUUCCAUCAUCUCUGUGGAAGGGAGAAGAUAAUUUACACCAGCUCAGAAGAAAACACCACUGCUUUUUCCUCCCCGCCCCAGACGAGCAGAGUCUACGUGAAGAUUAACUGGGAGACUCGGAGGAAGAAAGAAUACAGGGGGAAGAAGCCAAAGACUCCUGGGAUGCACUUCUGAAGUUUUCCCUGCUCCUGUCCCCUACACUCUUCUACUCCACAGCUUCCACAGGAAUCACGGGGGAGCCUUCACUCCCACCCUGAUGACUAAGUCACUGUCCAAGGAGAUGGAUGACAGGGAUUUGUAGCCUUCUCAUAAAUGUGGUUUUCAUCUUUGUUUGCCCCAGAUCUUCAUGCAGGGUUCUUCAAUGUAAACACAAGAAAGGCUCAUCUUUGAGCAAAUGAGACUUAUUUCUGAGGCUUCACAUAGUGGGCAGAUUCAGACACCUCUGCUUUUGCUCCUGGAAUGGUUUCCUGCACAAGCCCCUCAAGAGACUGACUGAACAUAACCAGGACAGUUCUGAAACUCCCCAGCCUGCCAAUAUAGAAGUUAUUGAGCAACAGCUUCUUUUUAACAGACUCUUUCCCUAGAACUGCCCUGUGUGUCAGUGCCCAGUACAAACAGAUUUCACUUCCUCCAGCAGAUUUUAAUUAUGUGCUCAUUGCAGCUGCCUCUCAACUAGAAGUACAUUUUCACUCAGCUUUCCUAAGUCACAAAAGCAUCUCCCCUGUGCCUUAAUUUCUCUUAGUACUCUGAUGCCCCUUUCCUGCUUUAUAUGAACUUCAGUAAACAUGUGGGUAUCAGUUG